ACGACUACAUAUCAGGCAUAUCAAUAAGCGGAGGAAAAGAAACUAACAAGGAUUCCCCUAGUAACGGCGAGUGAAGCGGGAAGAGCUCAAAUUUGAAAUCUUAAAGGUUUUCCCUUGACGAAUUGUAGUUUAAAGAAGUGUUUUCUGUUGAAGUUUUGGUAAAAGUUCUUUGGAAUAGGACAUCAUAGAGGGUGAGAAUCCCGUAUUUGACCGUUACUUUUCCAGCUGUGUGAUACACUUUCAAAGAGUCGGAUUGUUUGGGAAUGCAGUCCAAAAUGGGUGGUAAAUUUCAUCUAAAGCUAAAUACUGGCGAGAGACCGAUAGCGAACAAGUACCGUGAGGGAAAGAUGAAAAGAACUUUGAAAAGAGAGUUAAACAGUACGUGAAAUUGUCAAAAGGGAAGCGUUUGACACCAGUGUUGUUUUCUCGAAAAUCAAUUAAAAAGUAUGGGAUUUUGUAUUGUUAAGACCUUUAUCAGCUUUACGGCUACUUUUUUCUUAUUCUUUUUAAUGCACUUUUCGUUUAACAAGUCAACAUCAAUUUCUUUUGUUGUAAAAGAGGUCAUUGGAAGGUGGCUUUCUUUUCGGAGAAAGUGUUUAUAGCCUUUGGCUUCUGCAAUCGGAGAGAUUGAGGUCUGCAGCGUAGAUCCUUCGGGGUUAGAUGCAUUUGUGCUAAGUUAUAGCCUUUCAUAGACAACUUGUUGACUAUGAUCAGUCAUGUAGCUUACUCGCUUAUGCUAUUUUACCUACGCUUAGGAUGUUGACGCGCGUGUGUGCGUG
rnacentral:rRNA from 1 species